AGCGUAGGCGGAUAGUUUAGUCAGAGGUGAAAGCCCAGGGCUCAACCUUGGAAUUGCCUUUGAUACUGGCUAUCUUGAGUAUGGAAGAGGUAUGUGGAACUCCGAGUGUAGAGGUGAAAUUCGUAGAUAUUCGGAAGAACACCAGUGGCGAAGGCGACAUACUGGUCCAUUACUGACGCUGAGGCUCGAAAGCGUGGGAGCAAACA
rnacentral:rRNA from 1 species